CCUACGGGUGGCUGCAGUGGGGAAUAUUGGACAAUGGGCGAAAGCCUGAUCCAGCCAUGCCGCGUGUGUGAAGAAGGCCUUCGGGUUGUAAAGCACUUUCAGUGGGGAAGAAAGCCUUGGGGCUAAUACCCUCGAGGAAGGACAUCACCCACAGAAGAAGCACCGGUUAACUCCGUGCCAGCAGCCGCGGUAAUACGGAGGGUGCGAGCGUUAAUCGGAAUUACUGGGCGUAAAGCGCGCGUAGGCGGUCUGAUAAGCCGGUUGUGAAAGCCCCGGGCUCAACCUGGGAACGGCAUCCGGAACUGUCAGGCUAGAGUGCAGGAGAGGAAGGUAGAAUUCCCGGUGUAGCGGUGAAAUGCGUAGAGAUCGGGAGGAAUACCAGUGGCGAAGGCGGCCUUCUGGACUGACACUGACGCUGAGGUGCGAAAGCGUGGGUAGCAAACAGGAUUAGAUACCCGGGUAGUC
rnacentral:rRNA from 1 species